UGCGGAGUCUAAGGGGGCGGAGCUUAGGCAGUGUAAUUGCGCUUGAGGAAGCCGGCCGGUUGUCCCAGACUUAAGGCUCGGGUGGUGUAAGGAGACGGUGAAGUUUAGUUCCUUGCAGAAGUGGUCCUGAAGUGUUUCUGCGUGUUUCCCUCUGUUCUCUCUCCUAAGGCCAGGGUAAACACUGAGGAUUAUUAAGCUUUAUGCAUCUGCAGUAGUAAGGGAUCCUUGGAUAUCUUUUGAAUUAAUGAACAGUGUUAUUGUAAUUACCAUUUAUUGAGCUCUCUCUCUCUAUAUUUUUAAUUGUCUACAAGAAAUCCACUUCAUUUAGUUGAGCUCUUAAACCCCUGGUAGACAUAUCACGUAUGUUUCCUCGUUUAGUUUUUACACCAACUCUUUGAAGUAAGUGGUAUUAUCCUGGUUCUGUAGGGGAGCAAAUCGAUAUAAAGAAGGGUUAAGUACUACAACUGUGACUUUCACUCCCACAGUGAGACAGAGGGUAGAAGAGCCAUUUCCAACCCAGAUUUAUCUGAUGCCAAAUGAAUGAAAUAUUAAUUUUCCAGAGAAAUUUCUUGCGCUUGGCUACUUGAAAGAUCCCUUUGUAUUUGCUGGAAAUGAAUAUUAGUCGUUGAGUAGACAUCGCUUUCUUCUUCUUCUUCUUCUUCUUCUUCUUCUUCUUCUUCUUCUUCUUCUUCUUCUUCUUCUUCCUCUUCUUCCUCUUCUUCCUCCUCCUCCUCCUUUUUCUUGAGAGAUCUCUUUGUUUAAAUGAGUAGUGAAAGGAUAAAGCUAAUGCCAAUACCCAAAAGUUACCAUGAUUAAUCUUAGGGCCAAUCUUGUGAGGUAGGUACUAUUAUCUCCAUUUUACAGGUGAGGAAACAUGUCAGAAAUGGAUUAAGUAACUUGUGCUGGGCGACAUUCCAAGGAACAAUGAAGCACUGCCUUUAGCUUGCAAGUAAUUGAUUUCAAAACCAGAAUGUAACUUUCUCAUUUGAAGAUAAAGUGAGGACAGUUCCUGGGUUAAGACCUAAAGGAAUUUGUGCUUAUGAACUUCACAGAGAGAGAGAGAGAGAGGCAGACACAGGCAGAGGGAGAAGCAGGCUCCAUGCACC